rnacentral:misc_RNA from 1 species
GUGUUAAGGAAAGUUAAUAUUACAUUCCUAUCUAGCAUAGGAUUUAUAUAUCUAAAUAGAAAUGAUUUGUAUUCCUAAUUAAUAGGGUAAUUAUAGUAGGAUUUAUAUUCUUAGAUAGGUAGGAGAUUAUCAUACAUAAAUAUGUAAACUUUUAUUAUAUAGAUUGAGUGAGAAUUAAAAAUGUAGCUCUUUGAUUUUUCUC